AUAGGGUUAAGCUCCGCUAGGCAAUUCUGGUGGAAUAUAGGAGGCAACUUUUAGUCGCAACUUUCUUACUGUUCAGGAUCUGGAUCUUUGGUCUUCCUGAUCUGAAAUGGUUAAAUAAGGGAGAUGAGCUACAUUAUUUUCAGUAAGAAUGUCAACACUUAAGACCAAUACAAAAAACUAAAUGUUGGUAAAAAUCAUGAAACAACCAAUGAAACCAUUUUCUUUCUUAAAUAAAUUCAUUUAAUACAAAAAUGUAAGUUUCAUACUUACCUUUUUUAAGUUUUUAAAACCGGCUCAUGAAGGCAAUAAUCAGGAUAACAAUUUAUCACACUUUUAAAGGAACAAUAACAGUAAACUUGCCUUUUUACCCACUUACCAGUACCUUUGGGGGGCCAUACGGGUACCCCUUAUGCGUGGAUCCAACAUCCAAUUUAUUAAUUAACUGGUCGCCCCAUACCCCGUCCGGUCAUCGGUGCCAAACAUACCACCGCCUCAAUACUCCAUUCGGCAUGAGGGUGAACUAUACCUCCCAAUCCCUUUUAGUAUGGGACUUCUCAGCCCUAUUCGACUGAGAUAAUGUUUACAGUAGGAUUUUUUCUAUGCACUGGGUUCGUAUAUCCUUCCCCAGGAUACCCAAUAAGCCUUUUAUACAUAUCCAUAUUAUUAACCAACAACCAAUUACACACAACCAUUUCAUAUUUACAUAUCAAUAGUACGAUAUGUAAAUAGACAAUACAAACAAUCAAUAAAACGUAAUUAAGGUAUUUACUCAAAAUCAGUCAACAGGUGAGAAUAACAACCAAACAAUCAAUAAACGAAAUUAAAAUCAAUAAACAAUAGCAAUUUAGGUAGUAUAGGAAAAAAUAGACAAUAUAAAUAGGAAAAUUAUACACUGACCGGUUCUGGCUCCAUUGGUGACCUGUAAUUAAUUUACGAAUUUCUAAUUUUUACAAAAUAUAUCGUUAUUAAUUAUUAAAUUUUAAUUUACCGCAACGGGAGAAAACAUUAAGGGAUUCUUAUCCCGGAUCGGUGUUUGAAACAUCGCCUCUUUCACUGCCCUUCCUGGCGGUUCUUGGAUUUUCAAGGUUUUUUUUUUUUGCAGAAAUAAAAAAUAUGCAUCACAUAUUCUAGAAUACCCUAAAAAGGCCAAAAAUAAGCAUUUUAAAUUUUUCUGGCCAGUUUAGAGUUCCGGCACGGUGGCGUUGCCGUGCUCCGGUGCUGGCUCCACCGCCCACGAUAGCAUCUCCUCUCGGUCUAGCCAUUUUCGGUCAGUUUUGGCCAGUUUUGCACAAAAACUACAAAAAAUGGGGUUAUACAGUCUCUGUUGGUCGGAAAAGGAAAAACCCAACAUAUUACCAGCGGAGGAGCUUUCUGGUACGGCGGCUCCGUCGUUCCUCUCUUGUAGCUGGGGUUCCCUUUAGUCGACCUACACUAGAAAAAGAUUAGGAGCACAACGGUAGAAAAAUCAAAGGGAACAAGAAGUGAUAAACGGCUCACUGGAGUCGUUUUUGGGUUGCGACCGCGGCAGGUCAACCAGGCUCUGCUCUCAAUUUUUAGCUUCCCUUUUGGCCUUUUGGCUCUGAUAUAGGUGUGCGGAGGUUGAAAAUCAAAUUUUGAACAAAAAGGGGAAAAAAUUUACCUCCACGAUGUUGGCAGUGGCUCCGGUGCGGUGGCGGCGAUUAUCGGCCUCUUUCCUGCUGCCUUUUUUCUUCUUCUCCAGCGAGGGCAGGUACGGCUAGGGUUAGGGUUCCCUGGGAUGCAACGCUUAAAUACCUCUCCCCCCAUCUGUAUCGAUUUGGGCUGUCCGUGCAGGGACACGUGACCCACUCAUCGUCGUUGGAUUUCUCUUAUUUGGAGAAUAAAUUUGGGCCGCACGAUUUAAUCAAAUCUAGUCUUUAGAUCGUGCCUAAAAAGGGAACGAAUCUGGGCCAUCCGUGCGCGUGGGAGGAGAUCUGGGUCGUUGGAUCUGCUAGCACGCAGAUUGCCUGUGUGGACGAGUGCCCAUGUGUCGCCCAUGUGGCACACAGUGACCGGUCGUGCUGCUGACAUGGCGAUCCACGUGGCCAAAGUUUCAUUAUUUGUACUUUUAUCCUAAUUUUUUAGAUUUCUUUUCAAAUAAGUCCUCCCUUAUUUCUAUUUUAGUCUGUGAAAAUAUUUUUAAAUGCAUCCAAAACAUAAUUUUCUUCAAAAAUUCAACAAAAAAAUUAAAUUCAUUUUUUAAAAUUUAUUUCUUUAUUAUUAUCAAAAUAUAUUGGGCCUAAAUUUUGGGAUCGGGUGUUACAACUCUCCUCCCUUAAGGAAACUUUAGUCCCUCAAAUUUACUACUCUCUUAUUAGCCAAACAGUUGAGGGUACUAAACCCUGAAAUCUAAUUCUAGCUCCCAAGUGGGUUCAUUCUUCGAGUGAUUCUGCCAUAAGACCUUGACGAAGGAAAUUUUUCUGUUGCGAACCACUAUACUCUUUCGGUCCAAAAUAUCUACCGGUAUCUCCUUGUAGUAUAGAUUCUCUUGGAUGGAAGUAGCUCAUAAGACAAAACAUGUGAGGGGUCCGGGUUGUACUUGCGCAGCAUAGACACAUGGAAUACAUUAUGGACUCCGAAUAGCUCUUGAGAUAGUGUUAGUUUAUAGGCGGAUGUACCAACCCUGUUCAAGAUCUAAAACAAUCUGAUGAACCAGGGGUUUAACUUUCUCCUUUUUCCAAACCUGUUGAUAUCCUUAAAGGGGGUAACCUUCAAAAACACUCGAUUGUCCUUCUUAAAUUUUAAAUCUCUCAUUCAGGUGUCUGCAUAACUCUUCUACCUACUCUAGGCUGUCUGAAUGUUCUUUCUAAUUUUAACUACGUUCGUUGUGGUCUCAUCUAUAAGGUCUGGGCCAAUCAAUUUUUUAUCCCCCACCUCUUCCCAAUAGAUCGUCAAUCUACAGAGUCGGUCAUACAAUACCUCAUAUGGAGUCAUGCCAAUACUUGCUUGAUAACUGUUAUUAUAGGCGAACUCUAUCAUAGGUGGAUGAUUGUCCCAAUAUCCUCUGAAGUCUAGAAUACAAGCCUUGAGCAUAUCCUCUAGUGUACGAAUGGUUCGUUCUGAUUUUCCAUCUGUUUAAGGGUGAAAGGCUAUGCUAAGGAAUAGUUUCGUUCUCAUUGCUUGCUGAAAACUUGAUUAAAAUUGAGAGGUGAACCUGGGGUCUCUAUUUGAUACCACUAUCACCGAAACUCCAUAUAGUCUGACUAUCUCCCAAAUAUAGAUUCUUGCUAUCUUAUCUAAGGGUUCGAUCAUUCUGAUAGCCAAGAAGUGCGAGAACUUGAUGAGUAGGUCAAUAAUUACCCAGAUUGCAUCAUGCCUCGAGCGUGCUUUAGACAACCCUAUUACAAAAUCCAUAGUGAUAUGUUUCCAUUUUCAUUUCAGAAUUGAUAAUGGCUAAAGUAGCCUGCUUGGGCAUUGAUGUUCUGCCUUAGCCUGUUGACAUAUAAGGCACUUAUAGAUAAAAUCAGCAAUCUCUUUUUUCAUCCCGCUCCACCAGAAUCAGGAUCGCAUGCUCUGAUACAUCUUAAUACUUUCGGGAUGCAUGGUGAACUUUGAACUGUGAGUCUCUAUCAUGAUAUCCCGUUUUAGUUCACUGUUAUUUGGAACACAUACCAUGUCCUAGAACCUGAGCAACCCAUCGACAGAGAUUCAGAAUUCUAGAUUUACACUCUAUUUUGUAUCCUUUUUUAGAGCUGCUAGAGUGGGAUCAGUCAGUUGGGCUUUCUUUAUUCUCUAAUUCAAUUCGUGUUAAACAAUUAGAUAGGCAAGACAUGCGGCCCUUUUUAAAUCCUGAAGCUGUAUCUAUUGCGCAGCCUUUAUUACCCUGCAUUCAGAAAUUAUUACGUGAGCUAACAUACCUACACUUUUCCUGCUGAGAGCGUCAGCUACUACAUUACCCUUAUUAGGUGAUACAAGAUCUUACAAUCGUAGUCCUUGAGGAGCUCUAUCUAAUGCCUCUGACAUAUAUUGAGAUCCUUCUUGAUGAAUAUAUGCUUUAAGCUCUUAUAGUCUAUAUAAAUAUAAAAAGUCUCCUCAUACAAGUAGUGGCACCAAGUGUUCAAGGCGUGGAUAAUGGCGACAAGUUCUAAGUCAUAGGUGAAAUAAUUUUUUUCAUGAGCUUUCAGCUGCCUAAACCCAUAGGCUGUGACCUUUCUGUGCUGUAUUAGAAUACAACCCAAUCCUAGGUAGGAAGCAUCACUGUAUACUGUAUAUCCACCUGUUCCACUUGGCAAAGCUAAAACUGGCGCGGUAGUUAAUCGGUUCUUGAGCUCUGUAAAGCUCAUUUCAUAUUUAUCUCCACUCAAACUUAAUGUUCUUCUUCGUAAGUCGGGUCAGGGGGGCGGCUAGGCUUGAAAACUCUUCCACGAACUUGCGGUAAUAAUCUGUCAUAUUUAAAAAGCUCCGAACUUCCUUAACCGAAGUCAAUUUCUCCCAACCCAUUACUACCUCAACCUUCUCGAGAUUCACUAACACCCCAUUCUUUGAUAUUAUGUGCCCUACGAAGGUAGUCUGUUUAAGUCAAAACUCACACUUGCUCAGUUUUGCUUAUAGUUUCUUUUUUCUGAAAACUUGUAAAACCUGAGUCAGGUCCUGAACGUGUUUCUCUCUCCUAUUUGAAUAGACCAGGAUAUCGUUAAUAAAUACUACAACGAACCGAUCCAAAAACUAUCUGAAGGACCUGUUCAUCAAGUCCGUAAAAAUGAUAGGUGCAUUGGUUAACCCGAAUGGCAUGACCAGGAACUCACAGUGCCCAUACCAGGUUCUGAAAGUUGUCUUGGAGAUGUCCUCUGUUUUUAUUUCUACCUGAUUGUAACCUGAAUGCAAAUCAAUCUUGGAGAAAACCUAAGCACCCUGUAACUUAUCAAAAAGAUCAUCGAUCAUGGAGAGGGGGGUAUUUGUUCUUAAUUGUGACCAUAUUCAAUCCCUUAUAGUCAAUAAACAAUGUUAAAGACCCAUCACCUUUCCUUACAAAUGUGACUACAGUACCCCAAGAAGAUAUACUGUGUCGGAUGAACCCAAUAUCUUACAAUUCUUUGAUCUGUUUCUUCAGCUCUUUCAGCCCAACAUGACUCAUUCGAUAAGGGGCAACUGAAAUGGGCUGGGUGCCAGUCUGAAGAUAUAUGGUGAAUUCAACUUCUUUGUCAAUCUGUAGUCCUGGUAUUUCAUUAGGAAAUACGUCUAGAAAAUCUCGGACCACAUAAAUCUCUUGAAUGUAAUUUUUUUUUCUUAAGCUUGCUUAACUUAAAAAUGAAAAAUUGGGUUAAAGCAUCAGAUAAACAAUGCAGUUACUAUCAGGGAAUAAUAUCUAAAACUUUUAUUAAUUUGUAAAAAGGCUCUUCAUUAGGAAGGUUGAAUACAAGCUUCUUAUGAAAAUAAUUUACGAUGUCAUGAUAUGCCGCUAACCAGUUCAUUCCUAGAAUUACAUGAAAAUCUCUCAUGUCUAGUAUUAUCAGGUCUACACUUAAUUUUCUACCUGUUAUUUCUACGAUACAACCUUUGUAUAUGACAUUCCCUAAUAGUGUCUCAUUCCCAAGUGUGGACACAAACAGCACAGAAUUAAGACUUUCAGGUAACACAUUAAUUUUUUUUGUAAAAGCAUGUGAAACGAAAGAAUAUGAAGCACCAAUAUCAAUUAAAACAUGUGCAAGGUGAUUAUAGAUAGUGUAUGAAUCCUGUAUCACUUUUGAGUUAGCUUUAGCAUCUUGCUGGGUGAGGGUAUAAGCCUUUUCCUGGAUUGGAAGUCUAACCUGAUUCUUUUUCUGCGAACACUCUAUCACGUAGUGCUGGACACUUCUAUAUAUGUAACAUGUAUUAUUGAAAAGAUAGCAAGGUCGGUUCCCAUGAUCCUUGGNNNNNNNNNNNNNNNNNNNNNNNNNNNNNNNNUACUGAAUCGGUGUAGUGGGUGCUGGGCUGCAAUAUGAAACUAGGGCCUUGGAAUUUUCCACCACUGGAGGAAAGAUGUGAAGGUCCCUUUCUAUUAGUUGUGCCCUGGCCAGAAAUUCUAAGUAGGUGCUGAGCUCGAAUACAUACAGUUGCUGUCUGAUCUCAGGACGGAGGCCUCACUCAGACUUCCUUAUCUUUCUGCCUUCGUCCAUCAUGCUCUCAAGAGAGCAUCGGCCCAACUCUAGGAAUUUUUAGUCAUACUCAGACAUUGUCAUAUCAUCUUGGACUAGGUAUACAAACUUUAUCUCCUUCAAUUGCUGAAGGUGUUUUAGGAGAUACUCUGCAUUAAAAGCUGCCAGAAACUGUUCUUAGGUGGUCGAAAUGGGUAGGGUGGCCUGCAUCAGUUGCCACCAACGACCUGCCUCACCUACGAGCAUGUAAGUAGCAAGUAUGACCUUCUAUUCAGGAAUUACCCCAAGAGUUGCGAAGGCCUUCUCUGUCUCUGCUAGCUAGUAUUCAGCUUCUUUGAAAGUGGAUGCCCGCAAAGGUAGAUGGGUUGAGUCUCUUGUACCUCUUAAUAUAUCUUGGGUCCAUCAAGAGUUGAACUGGGUCCUGUUGAAGAUGAAUUGGAUUAUGCUGGGAAGGGAUCGGGUGAACCUGUGGCGGCACCUGAUUGUAUGGUGGGGGCACCAGAUUGUACUGUCGCAGUGCCAGAUGAUACAGUGGAGGAGUAGGGUUGUACUAAGGGGGCGCUAGAUCUUUCCGUUGCAGGGGUGGCUCAUACUAUGGCAGGAGUGAAGGGUCAGGUAGGUCCCUCCUCUCUUACCUGGCCUGUUGGGUAAAGAUGAGUCUCUCCAGUAUUUUAAAAAGUCGAUUAACAUGCUCUCGAAGCGACCCAUCCUGAGCUGCUCUGUUCAGUGGGGGUCUUCUUUUUCUCAUGUCUUUGCACCUGCAUUUCACAAGUAAGGGUUGAGCAUCAGGUUGUAUUGAAUGAUUCUAACCUUUGUACAAUGAAUGGUUUCGAGGAACGCGACUCUAAUGCCAAGUGUAAAUGCCCAAAACUUAAUGAAAAUGAACAUAUUGAAUCAGUGAAAAAUAGCGGAAGCAAUUAAGAGUUUAGGGUUUACAUUCCAUGUACAGUAAAUCAAGAUGUCUAAUAAGGCUAGGGAAUGUCCCUUUAGCGAAGUUAGAAUAACGAAAAUAAAAAUAAAACAUAACUAAAAUCCUAUAGGGUUAACCUCCGCUGGGCAAUUCUGGUGGAAUGUGGGAGGUAAUUUUUAGUUGCAACCUUCUUACUGUUCAAGAUUAAGAUCUUGAUCUUUCUGAUCUGAAAUGGUUAAAAUAAAUAAGAUGAGCUACACUACUCCACUAAGAAUGUUAACACUUAACACUGAUAUGGAAAAUCAAAAGUUGGUAAAAAUUAUGAACCAAUCAAUAGAGUCAUUUUCUUUCUUAAAUAAAUUCAUUUAAUACAAAAAAGUAAGUUUCAUACCUACCAUUUUUAAGUUUCCAAAAUUGGCUCAUGAAGGCAAUAAUCAAGAUAACAAUUUAUCACACUUUUAAAGGAACAAUAACAGUAAACUUACCUUUUCACCAACUUACUAGUACCUUUGGGAGGUCAUAGGGGUUCCCCCUAUGCGUAGACCUAAUAUAUAAUUUAUAAAUUAAUCGGCCGUCCUCACACCCCAUCCGGUAAUGGACGCCAAACAUACCACCACCUCAAUAUCCCGUCCGUUAACCCCUUCCGGUAUGAGAUUUCUAAGUUCUGUUUGACUAAGAUAAUAUCAACGGUAGGGUUUUUUCUAUGUAUUAGGUCCGUAUACGCCCUAGAGUACCCAAUAACCCUUUUAUACAUAUCCACAUCAUUAAUCAGCCACCAAUUACACACAACCAUUUCAUAUUUACAGAUCAACAAUAUGACAUGUAAAUAGACAAUACAAACAAUCAAGAAAACAUGACUAUGACAUUUACUUCAAAUCAAUCAAUAGGUGAGAAUAACAGCCAAACAAUCAAUAAACGAGGAAACGGUUAAAAUCAAUAAACAAUAGCAAUUUAGGUAGUAUAGGAAUAAAUAGACAACACAGGUAGGACAAUUAUACAUGACCGGUUUCGGCUUCACUGGUGAUCUGUAAUUAAUUUAGGAAUUUUUAAUUUUUACAAAACAUAUCGCUAUUAAUUAUUAAGCUUUAAUUUAUCCUAACGGGAGAAAAGGGUGAGAUCUUCUCACUCUAGAUUGAUGUUCGAAACACCGCCUCUUUUAUUAAGCUUCUUGGCAAUUUUCGGAUUCCCUAAGCUUUUUUGCAGAAAUAAAAAAUACGUGUCACGUAUUCUAAAAUACCCCAAAAAGGUCAAAAAUAAGCAUUUUAAUUUUUUCUGGCCGGUUUAGGGUUUCGGCACAUCGCCGCCAACAACGGUGUCUCCUCUCGACUUAGCCAUUUUUAGUUGGUUUUGGUUGAUUUUGAUCGAUUUUACACGAAAGCCUUCAAACACUGGGGUUAGGCAGCCUCUAUUAGUAGAAAAAGUGAAGACCUAAGGCAUUACUGGCGGAGGAGCCUUCUGGUGCGGUGGCUCCGCCGUUCCUCUCUCGCAGUUGGGGAUUCUUCGGUCGACCUGCACUAAAAAAGGUUAGGAGUACAACGAUAGAAAAUUGAAGGGAACGGGAAGAAAAAAAAAAAGCUCACCAUAGCGAUUUUUGGGUCGCGGCCGCGGUGGCUCGGCCAAGCUCCACUCUUAGUUUCCAGCUUCUCUUUGGCCUUUUGGCUCCAAUAUGGGUGUGGGAAGACUGAAAAUCAAAUUUUGAACGAAAAAAAGGAAAACAUUUACCUCUCCAGCAUCAGUGGUGGCUUUGGUGCAGCGGCAGCGACGGUGGUCUCUUUUCUGGCUGCCCUUCUUCUCUUCUCCGGCGAGGUCAGGCGCGGCUAGGGUAUGUUUCCCUAGGAUACGAUGCUUAAAUACCCCCCAUGUCGUUCUGGGUUAUUCUUGUACGGACACGUGGCCCACUCACCGCCCGUUGGAUGUUUCUUAUUUGGAAAAUAAAUCUGGGUCGCACGAUCUUAUCAAAUCUAGCCGUUCAAUCGCACCUGAAUAGAAAACGAUUCUGGGUUGUCUAUACGCAUAGGAGGAGAUCUGGGCCGUUGGAUCUACUGGCAUACUGAUCUCUCGCGUGGCUUCUCAGGUGGAUGCAUGCCCAUGUGUCGGUCACGCGGCGCAAGGCGAUCGGCCUCGUUGUUGACGUGGCGGUCCACGUGGCCAAAUUUUCAUUAUUUGUACUUUUACCCCAGUUUUUCAGAUUUUUUUUUAAAUAAGUCCUCGCUUAUUUCUACGUUAGCUCUAAUUUUGGAAAAUAUUUUCAACUUCAUCCAAAACACAAUUUUCUUCAAAAAUUCAAUCAAAAAAUUAAAAUUAAAUUUUUUUAAUUUAUUUCUUUAUUAUUUAUUAAAAUAUCUCGGGCCUAAAUUUUUGGACCAAGUGUUACAUUAUAGCCUAUACUUAAGCUCGAUGCAUUAAGGUUCAAUACUGUUUAGCGAUACUUGAUCACUUUUAAACGGGUCCAUAAAUCAAUAGCUUGUUAUGCAUAUUAAAGCCCACAUUAAACCCAUUUGUUGAAAAAACUCAACAAUCUCCCACUUGAACUUUAUGUGACACCUUAAUUAUACGUUAAAUAACCGUAUGAGUACUCAAAACUGUGCUAUCAAUACUUGAAUGCAUCACCAAAUAAUUUCAUCCAUUGAUCAUAAUGAUAUAUGAUCAAAGUAGCCUUCGCUACAGCUAACGUAGCUAAACCCAUCAAUGGUCACAUAUAUGAAUAUAACUGAACGACAUGGAUCAAGUAUAGAUGUGUAUCAUGGAAAUUACAUGCUAUGUGAUCUAAGCAUGCCUAUUUCCUACUAAUCUUGACUUAACCUUAGUGAGAUCAACUGUAAGAAAACUCAGAGAUAAUAUAUAAAAACAAAAAUAAAAGACAAAAAACUAAAAUAAAACCAUACACAUAUAAACCAAAGCCAAAACCAAAGUAUAAAGUUUAUGACAUGUCUUAUAAAAUAAAUGCAAUUAUGGUACAAAACUCCCACUGAACCCAUACAUCAUUUAAGGAUACAAUACCUAUAUGAGCAGUGUGCUCAUGAAAGAACUUAAGUGGUAAUCUCUUAGUGAGUGGACCCGUAAUCAUAAAGUUUAUUUUAAUGUGCUCUAUCGAUCUAUAUUUACUCUGAACUCUUUCUUUAACAAUAAAGAACUUGAUAUCUAUAUGUUUUAACUUCGACGAGCUCCUGUUGUUAUUGGAAUAUAUAACUGUUGACUUAUUGUCACAAAAUAACUUUAAUAGUCUUUCUAUGCCAUCAAUAAAACGUAGCCCAGUGACAAAGUUUCGCAGCCAUAUUCCAUGAUUAGAUGUCUCACAACAAGCUACAAACUCUGCUGCAUAGUAGAAAAGGCUACAAAUAUUUACUUAGCACUCUUCUAGGAAAACAUUCCCCUAGCAAGCAAGUAAAUAUAGCAUGAUGUAGAUUUUCUACUUUCUUACCAUCCGACAAAAUCAGAAUCAGAAUAACCAAUUAUCUCCAACGGAUCUGACCUCUGUAUUUGAGCAUAUAACCUUUUAUUCUCUGUAGAUACCGCAUGACACAUUUAGAUGCUUUCCAAUGACUUAUACCUGGCUUGCUUAAAUAUAUACCAAACAUCCCAACAAUGUAUGUAAUAUCCGGACACGUACAAAUCUGUGUAUACAUAAGACUCCCUACAGCUAAAGUAUGAUGAAUCUUUUGUAUCUUCGUAGUCUUUAGGUCAUUCUUGGGGUAUUGACUUAGAGUAAUCUUGUCUCUUUUAGACAUAGGGGAGUCACUUGGUUUACAAUCCUACAUGUCAAACUUUUUAAGAACCUUUUCGAUAUACCUCUUUUGUGAUAAUCUAAGAAUACCCUGAGAGCGAUCUCGGUAUAUCUGGAUCCCUAAUACAAAAGAAGCGUCCCUAAUAUCUUUCAUCUCAAAUUUUUUUGUCAAAAAGCUAUUGGUUUUGUGCAAUAAACCUAUAUUAUUGCUGACAAGCAGUAUGUCAUUGACAAAUAAAAUUAGAAAAAAUAUAUUUACUUUCACUAAACUUGUGGUAUAUAUAAUCUUCCACUAAAUUAUCUCAAAACCAAACGAGAUGAUGACUUGAUAAAAUUUGUGAUACCAUUGACGAAAAAACUGCUUAAGUCUAUAGAUGAAUUUUUUUAGUUUGCAAACCAUUUGCUUUACAUCUCCAGAUCUAAAAUUUUCUAGCUACACCAUAUAAAUUGUCUCAUCAAUGUCACUAUUGAAAAAUGUUGUCUUAACAUCCAUCUAAUGUAAUUCAAGAUCAAAAUGUGCCAUUAAAGCCAAUAUAGUCCUAAAAGAUUCUUUCGAGGAAACCAAAAAGAAAGUCUCUUUAUAAUUAAUAUCUUCUUUCUAUGUAAAGCUCUUAGCGACAAGAUGAAUCUUAUACCUCUCCACAUUACUUCCUCUUAGUUUUAGAUAUCUAUUUACAACCGAUGGAUUUCGCAUCCUUAGGCAAUGAGACAAUAUCCCAAACGUCAUUAUCCUUCAUGGACUUUAUCUCUUCAUUCAUAACAUUAAUCCACUUUUGAGAGUUAGGACUUUUUAUGGCUUGAUAGAGACUGAUAGGAUCAUCUUCCACCGUACCAAUGUCAAACUUAUGUUCUUGGAGAUAUAUAAUAUAAUCAUAUAGAAUUGCACUUCUCUUCUCUCUAGUGGAUCUCCUGAAUGACAUAAGUUCUUGAAGGUGUGAAGUUUGUAAUUUAGGAAUAGUUUCCUGAACAAAAACGGGAGAUACUAUGACAAUGUCUUAUCUGGAUUUAUUUUUAGAAUAAUGCUAGGUAUAAUAACCUGAUCUUGAUCAUUAUCAAGAGUAACUGAGAGAAUAGGGAUAUCGACUCAUUUCUCUUUGAAGACAAGGUCUCUAAUUCUUUCUCCUCUCGUAAAAUCAACAUCCUCAAAGAACUAGACAUUUCUCGUCUCAAAAAUUAUCUUAACAAAGGGAUCAUAAAACUUAUAACCCCUAGAUCUCUCAGAAUAACCAACAAAAUAGCAACUAACAGUUCUGGAUUUUAAUUUCUUUUUCUGUGGUCUAUAAGGUAUGGUCUCAACUGGACAUCUCUAAAUAUACAAAUGUCUCAAACUAGGCUUUUUUCCCAUCCAAGACUCAUAAAGGGUCUUUGUAGUUGCUUUAGUUAAAACUCUGUUGAAUAAAUAUGUUUCUCCCCAGAUUGAUUCAAGUAAGGUAUAAUAACUAAUCAUACUUAUCACCAUAUUCUUAAGCAUUAUGUUUCUCCUUUCAACAACACCAUUCAUGUUAAGAGAACCUGACAUGGUGUACUAUAGGACGAUACCGCAUUUCUCUAAGAAUCAAGCAAAUGACCCUAGAUGUUGAUCACCUAAUUUGUCAAAUCUACCAUAGUAUUCAUCAUCAUGGUCAAAUCUAACAACCUUAAUCCUUUUGUUGAGUUGGUUUUCAACUUCUGCUUUGAAAUUUUUGAACACAUCUAGGGACUACGAGUUCUCAUGAAUGAAAUAUAAGUAGCCAUAUCUGGAAUAAUCAUCUUUGAAUAUUAUGAAAUAUUAUUGACCAUUCUAGGAAGCCGUAGGGAACGAACCACAAAUAUCUAUAUUAUUAGGUUUUAAUACGUCCAUAGCCUUAUUAGUACCGAGUCUCUUAAUAUUUGUCUAUUUUUCCUUAAUAUAAUAGACAUAUUUGUCAGAAUCUGUAAAAUUAAGGGAAUCUAGAAUUCCAUCUGACAUAAAUCUCUCAAUUAUCCUUUGGGAGAUGUGACAAUCUUUUGUACUAUAAUGAAGCGGAAUUCUCCUUGGUUAAUUUUCUCUUUACACCUCUUGUACCAACAUGUAAGAAUUUAUUAUAAGAAGCAGUUGUAUCAAACAAAUAAAGAUUAUCACCCACUGAUAAAGAAUCAUAACCAACCAUAUUUGAAUUAAGAAAAAGACUAAAUUUUCCAUUUUAAAUGAAUAUGAAUAACCAAAUUUGUCAAAUACAAAAACAAAAAUUACAUUCCAUUUAAAUGACGGUACAAUAAAACUUUUUUCUAAAUCCAAAUAAAAAUCCAGUCCUUAACAAUAAUUUAAAUUUGUCAAUUGCUUCCACGUUGACUAUUUUACCAUCGCCCACAUAAAUGAAUUUAGUACCAUCACUUGUCUUACGACGAUGGAGGUAACCCUGCAUAGACACACUGAUGUGAGUUGUGAUAUCAGAAUAUAUUCACCAGGUGUUUGUAGGUACAGAAGUUAAAUUAACCUUAGAAAAAACAAAGUUAAAAAACAUACCUUUCUUUACACGUCACACAUGAUUAGUUAGCACAUUCUUUCUUCUGGUGUCCUAGAACUUUACAGAAGAAACAAACAUUUUCGGUCUAAACCUUUUGUUCCUUCUUCUGUUAUACCAGAACUGCAACAUAUUUAUUUAUUUAUUUAUCUUAUUCUUCUUAUCCUUUGAGAUCACUGUGAAAUGAGCAUUCUUUUCCUCUCAAAUUUAAGUCUUUCCUCCUCUCGAACACAAUGUGAAAUGAGCUCAUUCAGAUUAUAGGAUUCCUUCUGACAAUUAUAUGUCACUUUAAAAUGAUUGAACUAUGGUGGAAGAGAAAUUAAAACAAAGUACACAAGUACUUCUUCUGACAAUCCUACUCUAAGUGUCUUAAGCUUUGCAUGCACAUGUCAUCUUCAUUAUGUGCUCUCUAAUAUUUUUAUUUCUUUUAUACCUCAUUAAAACAAGAAUCGACAAAAGUGUACAUACCUCGGUCACUUCUAGCAAAACGUUGUUUUAGAGAAUGAAGAAAAUCUCUAAUUGUUAUGAUCUCAUCGAACAUAGUGCCCCAAAAAACCUCUAGAAUGGCCUGUCAGGAGUAAUUUGAUCAGGUUAACCAACAUGUAAACCCCAAUCUAGAUCCAUAACUCCAAGCAUAAGUCAAACACUAUUCUUUCAUUGCUUAAAGUUUGUGUCGUUCAAUAUUGGGAUGGAAUUAACAUUCGCGGUGAUACUUCUAAUAGAAAAAUAAGCUUAAUAGAGAACAUACAAAAAUAAAUUAAUUAAUACUAAAAUAAAAACAUUAAACCAUAAACUUUAAUAAUGAAUUUCAAAUAAAGGUAUAUCCCCAUAUCAAGAUACCGAUCUCUCCAUUAACACUAUAUCUUUGUACAUAAUAUUAACUUGUAAGUGGUACUUGUAACAGUAAUUAAAUACAGACAGUAAGAACACAUCAAAUAACAAACCUCGUUUGAGCCGAUUUAAAGUUCACUUAUUAUAUUGAAUAACUAUCACGUAUUCAUUAUCACAAAAAUAAAAUGUAAUAAUGUUAAAGAUUAACUUUCAUUUGGGCCGAUUAACAUUCACAUAAAUUACAUUCAUACAACUGUUUACAUUAUAAAAUAAAUAAAUUAUCCAUAAGAGAUGUCACUUUGGUGACAUAUUAUAUAAAUCAAUUUAUUUCAAUAUGUAUAUGCACAAACCAAUAUUAAAAUUCAAAAUUAAAACUAAAUUUAAACUGAAUUAAAAAGAAAAUCAACCAUAAAAUGACUAAAAAUACCUUAAAUUUUUUUUUGGUCAAAAGGUUUACUGUUGACUGGUCAACCGUUGAUCGAGUUGGGUUAACAUCUGAUCGGAUCCUAUACUGGGUUGGGUUCGUGCCAGGUUAGCCCACCCCAAACUUGUCUAAAUUUUGGCCCAACCGAAUGGGCCUCUCCUUUUCUUUCGUUUCCUUCUUUUCUUUUUUUUAUUUCCUUUUUGUGGACUAAGCCCAUAUAAUUUAAUUUAAAAACUUAAAAGAAAACCCAAUAAGCCCAAUUUUUUCUCCUUCUUCCUCACACCAGAAGGCAUUUUGGUUACUAUGUAACGGCUAAAAAAACUAUCCGUUACGUGCAAGAUUCUACAGCCAAAACGGUUGCGUGACUGCCAGGCUUUCUUCUUCAUAUAGCAGCGGUCUGUCGAUGCUUUUAAUUGUUUUUUUGCUAUAUAUAUAUAUAUAUAUAUACAUCCUCAGCUGUAGAAGCCUAAACAUAUAUCGAAGAUUUUAAGGGUUUAGCCCUAUUAUAAUAAUAUAGUAAAACAGAAAUUAUCGUAGCGUAGGAGAAUUUAGAUUUAAAGGUUACAUUCGUUGUACGUUUACUUAGAAUACCCAAAUAGGGAUUAAAUGCAUGUUCAUAACUUAAAAUGAUAAAAACACUACAAAGGAAUUAUUAACCUCAAUUCAAAUUAGGCAGAGUAGAAAGAGAUAAUGUCGUAGCUAGUCUCUCAUUGUUCGGAGUCCAGGUCUUGGUCGUCUUGAUCUAAAAUGGUUAACAAAAAGAGGGUGAGCCACACUAUCUCAAUAAGAAUAUAAACAUUUUACCACUGACACGGAAAUAAAAGAAUUAUAGAAAAUAUAAAACAACCGAUGAAGCAUGCUUUUAAUGAAAUCUGGAUGCUAAUGCGCCCCUAAUUUAUUUUAUUGAAAACGUUACUAUUUCCUUCCCCAACUAGUAAUCCUUCAAACAUAACACACUAAAAUAAAGUCAAGAUGGCAAUUUAGACAUAAUAAGUAUACAUUCUAAUAACAUGUAAUGUUGGGUUCUUUACUAUUUGUCCGAAAUUAUGUUACUUACCAUAUCCAUUCUCGGCAUACUAUUUUAUUUUUCUUAUCGGUAUCGUUGGGGGGCCCAUAAGUAUCCCCGCUACACAUGAAAAUAAAAUGUUUCUAUUACAUUUCAUCGGUCGUCCCUAUAUUCCGUAUGGUAAAGGAAACCACGAUUUAAAAACCAUCUCAAUACAUCGUCCGAUAUGAACACAAUUGAUUGCUCCUAAACCUGUCUAAUUUGGGACUUCUCAGCCCCACAAAACUAAGGAUACGUCCACGAUAGGGUUCACCCUAUGCACUAAGUCCGUACAUUCUCUCCCAUAAUACUAGUAGGCCCUUUUUAUCGAUUUACACAUGCAUAUUUUCUAUUUUAUUUAAACCACAUAAGACCCGUGCUUCAACUAAUACUAGAAUAUGAAAUUUACAUUUUCAAACCCAUUAAGAGGUAAAAAUAAAAACAAAACGUAAACAAAAGCAAAGUAAAAUGUCAUGAUAGAAUAAGACCUCUCAUAUGUAAUAGUAUGAAUAAAAAAAAUGAAAUAAAUAAAUAAGGGCGAAAUUAACAAGACAGGAUAUGAUAAUGAAGCGAAACGAAAUAAAUAAAAUAGCAUGGAGCGAAAUGAAAUAAAACAAAAUACAAUGAUUCAAGGUGCAUAAUUAAUACACUAGUCCUAGGUGGAUAUAGCGAGAUGAAAAUAGAUUAAACCAACAUUAAAAAAAUAGACAACUAGAAAAUAAGCAAAUAAAAACGAGAAUAAAAUGAAAAUAAAAUAAAUGACACAAUAAGAUAAGAAUUGGGGCAAGAAUAAUGAAUAGAUAUCGUAAAGUAAGGCUAGUGGCAAAACAUAAAUAAUCAUUUAACCAGCUCCAUCGGCAACCAGUAUUUAGUUAUUAAAAAUUCACAUAACAGUUUAAAAUCAUCUUUAUUAUCCAUUAACUUUUAUUUAAUUACAAUAGAAAAAAAGUAGAGGGAUUCUUACGUUGGGUCGAAGACCAAAACAUCGUCUUUUUCAACUACAGUUCACGAUGGCUCCCGCCUAUCAGAUUUCUUGAAUUUUCUGGUAAAAUUAGGAAACACAUAUCAAAAUGGUGUAGAAAUAAGUAAAGGCCAGUGAAAAAGAGCAGAGGAACUCAUUGGGGUUGGGUUGGGGCUCCGGCACAGCGGCGCCACUAAGCUCUGCCAUCUGGUUCUCAUUCUCCGACAUUCUUUUCUCUCGACCAAGCCAAACUGAUCGGUUAUGUGGUGAAAAUCAUAUUAAAUCAUAGAGAUGAGAGUGUUUUACAGAGAAAUGAAGGAAAUUUUGGCCUUACUUGUCAGUUUUUGGCUUCUGAUGUGGUGGCACAGACAUGCUCCACUAUAUCUCUCUCUCGAGUUGUGUCUUUCUUUAGUUUUUUUCUGUAUUAGGGUUAGUCUAAAUGACAUAGGGUGAAAAACUAAGACGAACGGGAAGAAAAAUCGUACUUACUAGCGCGUUUUAGGUUUUCGGCAUGGUGGCACGUCAUCCCUCCGGCAACCUCCUACGACCCUUUUUCUUUUUCUCCGGUCAGGACUGCCGGCUACGGUUUUAGGUGCCAACUGAAGAGAUGUUUAAAUACCUUUUUUAUUCUGAUCUGGUCAUCCACUCGAGCCUGCGUGGAUCAACAAAAGUCAUUCGAUCCUUCCUAUUUGGGCCAACCNNNNNNNNNNNNNNNNNNNNNNNNNNNNNNNNNNNNNNNNNNNNNNNNNNNNNNNNNNNNNNNNNNNNNNNNNNUAGUAUUGUUUUGAUUAUGAUUAAUAUUUUUAUUAUCAUUAACGUAAUAAAAAAAUAUCAAUUUUCCUAUUUCAAAAUUAAUCAUUCCCGAACCCGAUGAUGUUACAUAAACACACACAUAUAUAUACGUAUAUUUUAUGCUUUAUUUUUUUUGAAAUAUAUAUAUAUAUAUAUUUUGCUUUAUUUUUUUAUUUUUGAAAUCCAUUUAUAUAUAUAUAUAUUUCUAAUCCUGAAUAUAUAUAUACAUAUAUACAUAUAUAUAUUUCUCAAAAUCCAAAAUCACAAAAAUUACAAAAAAAAAAAACUUGAAUAUAAAAAAUCUAAUACGAGAAAUGCUCUGUUACCAAUUAUUAGAUUAAAAAAAAAACACUUUUCGAAUCAAUAGAUUUAUAAAUCUACACAUGCAAUCUCAUAUUAAAUCAAUGAGAAAUGUAAGUUUUGCAUACCUAAAUCCAUCGUGGAAGAAUUGUUCACGUCCGACAAUAGAAUCUUCUGAAUCAACACGAUACCUCAAAAACUAGUUUUUUCUUGUGAUGGAAUUUCA
rnacentral:lncRNA from 1 species